UACGGAGGGGACUAGCGUUGUUCGGAAUUACUGGGCGUAAAGCGCGCGUAGGCGGAUUUGCAAGUCGGGGGUGAAAGCCCGAGGCUCAACCUCGGAACUGCCCUCGAUACUGCAAAUCUCGAGUCCGAGAGAGGUGAGUGGAAUUCCGAGUGUAGAGGUGAAAUUCGUAGAUAUUCGGAGGAACACCCGUGGCGAAGGCGGCUCUCUGGUACGGAACUGACGCUGAGACGCGAAAGCGUGGGGAGCGAACAGG
rnacentral:rRNA from 1 species